rnacentral:rRNA from 1 species
AGCAGCCGCGGUAAUUCCAGCUCCAAUAGCGUAUAUUAAAGUUGUUGCAGUUAAAAAGCUCGUAGUUGAAUUUCGGGGUUAGUAGGUUGGUCAUGCCUCUGGUAUGUACUGGUCUCACUGAUUCCUCCUUCCUGACGAGCCUUAAUGCCAUUAAUUUGGUGUUUCGGGAAAUUUGGACCGUUACUUUGAAAAAAUUAGAGUGUUUAAAGCAGGCUCACGCUUGAAUACAUUAGCAUGGAAUAACGAAAUAGGACGUUUGAUUUUAUUUUGUUGGUUUCUAGGAUCGACGUAAUGAUUAAUAGGGAUAGUUGGGGGCAUUAGUAUUCAAUUGUCAGAGGUGAAAUUCUUGGAUUUAUUGAAGACUAACUACUGCGAAAGCAUUUGCCAAGGAUGUUUUCAUUAAUCAAGAACGAAAGUUAGGGGAUUGAAGACGAUCAGAUACCGUCGUAGUCUUAACCAUAAACUAUGCCGACUAGGGAUCGGAUGAUGUUAAUUUUUUAAUGACUCAUUCGGCACCUUA